GGGGAUGUAGCUCAAAUGGUAGAGCGCUUAUAUAUGCUAAUAAGAGGCAGGGGGAUCGAUACCUCCCAUCUCCA
rfam:Triticum aestivum genome assembly, contig: Triticum_aestivum_CS42_TGACv1_scaffold_577773_7BL